UACGAAGGGGGCUAGCGUUGCUCGGAAUCACUGGGCGUAAAGCGCACGUAGGCGGAUUGCUAAGUCAGGGGUGAAAUCCUGGAGCUCAACUCCAGAACUGCCUUUGAUACUGGCGAUCUUGAGUCCGGGAGAGGUGAGUGGAACUGCGAGUGUAGAGGUGAAAUUCGCAGAUAUUCGCAAGAACACCAGUGGCGAAGGCGGCUCACUGGUCCGGUUCUGACGCUGAGGCGCGAAAGCGUGGGGAGCAAACAGG
rnacentral:rRNA from 1 species